rnacentral:rRNA from 1 species
UACGGAGGGUGCAAGCGUUAUCCGGAUUCACUGGGUUUAAAGGGUGCGUAGGUGGGCAGUUAAGUCAGUGGUGAAAUCUCCGGGCUUAACCCGGAAACUGCCAUUGAUACUAUCUGUCUUGAAUACCGUGGAGGUAAGCGGAAUACGUCAUGUAGCGGUGAAAUGCUUAGAUAUGACAUAGAACACCAAUUGCGAAGACAGCUUACUACACGUACUAUUGACACUGAGGCACGAAAGCGUGGGGAGCAAACAGG